AGCACUGAUUCAGUUCAAACUGAGACUACGAAUAGUCAAGUCUAUUCACAGCAACCUUAUCAUACGAAAAGAUCUAGGUGUCCAAAAGGAGGACAUUCAAAUUCUCAGCACGAUUUUGGAUAUGAUCAGGGUCUGGACUUGCAAUCCGUUUUAAGUGACCAUAAAGAUACAAAUGGUUCCAACACCGAGUCCAUAGGAAUACAUAGAGUAAAUGAUUAUAGUGCUCUACUGCCAAACAAUGGGUAUGAAUCAAUGGAUGGACCUGCUACAAACACACAAGAUGCUUCCCUUUUAUCGUCUACAAUGCAAAGAAUCUUACCUGCUGCCAUAUCUACAAUGAAAAAUAUUGUUGGGACAACGAUUAAAUCUGUGAUCUUUGGACAGAAAUGUGACCAAAGUUUUAUUUGAAUAAAUUAUAUAUUUAUAUUUUAA